AUCUAUAGUUUUCUCAAUACACUUUUUUCCUCAUAUUAUUCUCCCUCACCUUAUUCUUUUUGGCCUCAGAUACCCUGGGGCAUGUGAGUGAAAAAUAUUUUUCAGCUGUUUCUUCCCACAGUGGAGACUUCAUUUUUGUAGUAAGAUUGACAAGUCUGUGGAGCACCUGCUCUCUCUGUCUCACACUUUCUCUUUUUUUAACUGCAAUUAAUAAAGUUUCUGGAGAUAUACUGUGAUGUACUGACUUACAGGUAGGAAAUGUUAGGUUCCUUUUACAAAGGGGGAACAAUGUGUUUUUAACCACAGGAUAGAUUCUGUGAAAGUUCCUGAGACAGUGUUGCUGUGGAACUAAAACUUUUUUUUCAGGGAUUCUUGAGAAGAGGCAAUUAGCAUUUUUCUUCUUUGAAUUAUUAGCAAUAUGAUAUGAACGCUAUCUUUUCCCAAUGUGAUUUGUUGGUACAGAUAUGGAGGCAUAGAUUUGGUUGCUUAUCCUGACUCAGCCUCUCAUUAGUUGUAUGACCUUGCAUUACCUUCUCUGGGCCCAGCUUUUCCAUUUGUAAACAGAGAAGGGCAAACUAAAAUCAGGAAUGGCGAGCUUAACCAGGUACAAAAGGUGGCAAGUCAUAGUGUACAAUCCCUUUGUCCACUGCCCUCCGCACAUGUUGGUGUUUGAGCCGGGUCCUCGCCUUGGGAGUCCAGACUGGGUCUUGUGCUCCUUCAACACACAGAACUGUGGGCAGCCAUUGUCAGCCCAUCUGCGUUAGUAUGUUGACAAAAGUACCUGUUAUCCCUAGUCUAGAUGCUCCCUAAUGCUUUUGCCCCAAUCGAAUGUCCUGAAAUUUUACUUUCCCUAAGCUAAUUAUAAGAAGCUGACCAUACUGUACAGCGAUGUGGUUUCCAUGUAAAAUUCAGUGUAUUGACGAAGGUCUUUUAGCUCUUUGUAAUUUCAAUCCUGAUUGUCAGUUUGACGGUUUGGCUAAGCCUUUCAUGCAAAGUUGUCUGAUUUAUCCCGACUUUAGGGUCUUUCUCUGUAUCUUAGUUCAUGCUGACUGAUUGUGAAAUCUACCCAGGGCCGUUCUAGUUCCAUUAUUUUACCUGAGAACGAAAUGGUGAUGGGAAUGUCAGGUUUGGGAAGAAGUCCAGGUUGGCUUUAAACUCAUCUAACUGACUUUUGUUUUCUGUGUUAUUCUUGUAUCUCCCUAUAUCAAAAGAAAGGGAUGUCACUGGGUUUUCUAAGAUUGUGAAUAAUGGUCCUAAAAACAUUUUUCUAUCCCUUCCAGGUAAAAGAAAAAAAAGGUCUAUUUUCAAAGGUUGGCUAUUUGAUAUACAUCCAGAGUAAUCUAUAUUUACCAUUCAUCUUUGGAAUUCAGAUGCAGUAUCUAAAUUUGGAAAAAUCCACACGCUGUUGGAAAACAUUUUGUUCCAGAGUUCACCUGUUUAAUUCCUAGGAUAGGGGACAACCAGUUCCGUUCAAGUUAAAGCUUUGAAGAUUCUUGUUGAAGGUCUCUGACACACCAAAUACUUGUCACUGAUACUUGUUCAUCAAGAGCUGACCAAGUGAAAUUCUCAGUGCUUUGUAUUGUGAGAACUUCAUUUGGUCACAGCAUUCAUGGUGAUGGCUGAGUGUAAUGGCUUCUUUCUUGUAUUUGCAGUUCUUAAGGAGUCUGUGGGACAGGGGCUGUGACCCAGGGUUUAGUGUGGCCACAAGGUGGAGGUAGUGGUCUGGCAUCAGAGAGAGGACAGUUUGGUCUUCUAGUCUAUGGGAGAGAGAGAACGAGUUGUUGUACUGUCUAAAGGCUCCAGCGACUUUCAUAAUGGAAACCCUUUAAAAUGAUUCCAAGGCAUACAUUCUUGCCAGGUUAAUGACUUAAUACACAUUUAGGGUUAUUUCAGACCUCAACAAUUAAGAAAUGGAUUUCCACAAUGGAAUAUAUGCAUUGUAAAGCCCUAUCCUGAAAAUAAGCCUCAGAUCUGGGAUGUAAAGUUUCUAUUUAACAUCUUUAAGUGUUUACUUAUUUUUGAGAGAGAGUGCGCACAUGCGUGCACACGAGUGGGAAGGGGCAGGGAGAGAGGGAGACACAGAAUCAGAAGCAGGCUCCAGGCUCUGAGCUGUCAGCACAGAGCCCCACACGGGGUUCAAACCCACAAAGGAUGAGAUCAUGACCUGAGCCAUAGUCGGACACUUAACCGACGGAGCCACCCAGGGGCCCCUCAAGGUCCUGUUUUAAUUAAGAUGAGAAACUGCCCCCACCCCGACCCCUGCUUUGUUUUAGUAUGUCCAAGAUGAUUAAAUGUUGGGGAUCUUUUGCUGUAUUUUGUUUAGCUACAAAUAAUUUUAGUCAAUGCUUAGGGGGGAACAGUUUUUUCCCCUCCAGUAGAAAUAAAUCUCUGUUUCUAUGAAUGUGAUCUGAUCCUCUCUUAGGAUUAUCAUCCAUAUGAUAUACUAUAUGUCACAGUCUCUGUUAUAGAAUAUAUUCUGUAUCAUAGGUUAUCAGAAGAGCAAAGGCAUGUACUAUAUUAUGUAUUAUAUAGAUUUAUAUGUAGUGCAUGGCUUUGCUCUUCUGACAAUAAACAUAGUUUUUAAACUGUAAGCUAUUUGAAGGCAAUUAUCCCAUGUGUCUUAUGGUAUACCACUGCUUUGCUGGAAGAGUUUAAGUGUAGAUUUGGCCAGGUAACUGUCAUUUGUGUUUUGGAAGGAGGACAGUAUAGUGUUCAGGGCCUGGAUACUGGAUUCAAGAGGAACUGGAUGUGAACCUGGUUCUUCUGCUUCAUAUCUUAGUUCACUUUUCGGGGGUGGGUAGUAGUGGUGGUAGUGGCUUUAUUGAGGUAUAAUUCACAUACCAUAAAAAUCAUCCAUUUAAAAUGUACAACUCAUUGGCUUUUAGUAUAUUCAGAGUUGUGUAGCCAAAACCACAAACAAUUUUAGAGCAUUUUCAUUACCUCAAAAAGAAACCCUGUACCCUUCAGCUGUCACUCUGAAUUUCCCAUUCCCUUUAAGCAGCCACUACUCUGUAUUUGCUCAUGCUGGAUACUUAAUAAAAAUGAAAUCAUAUGUAGUAUGUCAUCUUUUGUGAGUGGCUUCUUUCAUUUAAUAAAAGGCUUGUAUCCAUGUUA